rnacentral:lncRNA from 1 species
UAAAUUAAAACCAUUUCUAUCCAUAUACAGUCUCCAAGGCCAUAAACAAUAUCCAGAAUAUUACAAUGCGUCCAAGGCACCAAAGCCUAUUAACAAAACUACAAAGCUUCACAAACAACACAGUACGGCUGAUGGCCAGCUGACACCCACAAAAACAAGGAGAUCUUCUAGUCUAGCGCGGGUCUUCAGUCCACCAAACAUGAUCACCACCCACCUGUCUUCGACCUACAUCCGUCGAUCUACAAGGGUGGAAGCAAAUGAAUGAGCUAAAAAGCACAGUAAGUGCAUCACAGUAUCAUGCUUCCCUGCCUAUGAAUAUUAUCCCACAACACAGAUCAAGGUUAUAAGUCAUGCUCAUAAAACAGGAGUCAUGCAUCACAAUUAUAUCACAAUUAUAGGAUGGUGCUUUUCAUGGUAGAGCAGGCACAACGUAAGAUGUCAGAUAUCAUAUACACUAGCAAUCUAUCAGAUUUCAACAGAUUCAUACAAACAAGAGAGCACAACAAAAUCAACAGACACAACACACUCUCUAGCCCUAUGCAGCAUGCCACUCCCAUAUCUCGCAAGUCGAAAAUCGUAUAUCUCAAGUCAAUUUGAUUACUCAGGUCAAUCAUACAUCUCAAGUCAAUUACAUAACUCAGGCGACUACCCAUAUCGGGCGAUGCGAUUUGCAUAAGGCAUUGCUGGGACGUCACAUAGCACCUCGUGCGAACCUCAUUGGUGUCAGUCAUGGCCAUGCGAUACGCUCAAAGCAUGUCAAGUAAUCACAUAACAGUCACAAUAUAAUAGUAUCCAACUAACAAUGGGUGACUCAUUGCGUAGUUGUCAAUAUCACAUAUGCUCACACAAUCACAGUAUACCAACAGUUACAUAUCACCUCAUGCGCACUCAGAAGUCACAUAUUUUGGUACAGUAUACCCCACUACCAAUGGAAGACCUAUUACACGGUGGUCAUAUUACAGAUAUCAAUUUUUUUCAAAUAACAGAGUCAGAAUACUCACUAUCAAUAGAAGACCCAUUGCGUAGCGAUCAAUGCCAAAAAUAACAUAAUCACAUUGUCCACUACCAAUGGAAGACCCAUUACAUAGCGUUCAUGGCACAUAUCACAGUAUUCAUAAAAUAGAAUCAGACAGUAUCAGUGUCACAUAAUGGCCGUGUUAAUAUCACAUAAAAACAGUAUCAGUAUUACAGAAUGAUAAUGUCAAUAUCACGGAAUGACAGUAUCAGUCUCAUAGAAUGCCUGUAUCAGUAUCACAUUUUGACAAAAUCAGAAUCACAGAAUAACAGUGUCCAUAUCACAGAAUAACAGUAUUAGAUUCACAGAAUAACGGUGUCAAUAUCACAUAAUGAGUAUUACAGCUGCAAUUUCAAGCCGUGAUAUCUAGUCGUAAAUAGGGUCAUAACUUUUGAUUCGUUUGGAAUUUGAAACCAAUUUUAUACUAGACACACUUAUCAUUCAAAUGGGGAGGUUUGAAAACAAUUCGACCUUGCUUGGCCCCUCAAAAGUUCAAAAGAAUGGAGAUAUUUCAUCUGAAAUCUACUGUGCAGUGAAGGAAAUGGCACGUCUUUAAAAUUUACUCCAUAACUUAGAAUCAAGAAGAAAUUCCAAAAAACUGCUCAACAUGUGAAUUUAAGUUUACUCAUGAACCGUUCAAAUGACAGUAGUUUGGAAGAAAAUGGAUCAAUUUUGGUUAGUCAAAAUCUAUAGCGACAUAGGCAUAAAUUCUGAGUUUUAUAAAAGCUGUCCACAGUGACAUAUUGUUACAAUUAAUCAUAUAACUCUCAAAUUAAGGAGAAUUUCGAAAAGUGCUAAACAUGUGAUCUCAAUCUUACUCAAAAAUAUUUUAAACGGCAGUGGUUUGGAAGAAAACAGACCUCAUUUGAUUGGUCAAAACCCUUGACAUCAAAGACAUCGGUACUAUGUUUUUACCAAAACUGUCCACAGUGAUCUACUGGCAUGUUUCGAAGUAUAAAUUUAUAUAAAUAAAGAAUCAGAGCAAGAUGUGAACAUGACUAUUAAAAUAGACUCAGAAAUCUUUCCAAUAGUGGUGGCUUUGUAUCAUUUGGACUUCAAUAGUUUAGUCAAACUCCUAGUAUAAUAGAAAUAACAUUCUUGAAAAUUAUUACAAUCUGCUAACAAUGACAUACAUGCAUAAAACGAGCCAUAUCUUCUAAACUAUCAACGAUUUCAGCUAGUCAUAAACACCCUCAAAGUAGAAUCAUAGAAUUUUCAAAUGGUGGUGAUUUGAGGCCAAUUGAACAUCAUUUGCUUAGUCAAAAUCUCAUCACAAAAGCAUGUAAAUUUGCAGGAAAAUCACAGUACAAACAUGACACAUUCCAAAGAUUAUCCCGCAACUCCAAAUCCAUACAAGAUAACAAUAUGAAACUUUUUCUAUCUUAAACUAGACUCACACAAACAUCUUUUCAAAGAAUUUUAGGAUCCACAAUAGUGAUAACAGUGCCCAACUUAUCAUACAAAGAAAACCUAAUUUCUAGAAAAAUAGAAUACAACAUACAUGCUUAACUUCAAGCCUAAUCCAUGCUUAAAUUACACUUUAUUCAUGUUAAAUUCAUAGAAAUACAUACUUAAAUCUCAUACUUUCAUACAUAAGAAUCAUACUUCAUACUAUGAACACAUAAUAGUCUACUUACCUAAUGCUUCAAUGGUGGUCCCAAGUCAUUCGUACAGCUCACUCUUCAAGUCUCUCAACAAUCGGCACAAAGGGCUGGAAUCUCUAAGCGUUCAAAGGGAGUAAACGUGGGGGAUAAAGAGAGAGCUGGAGGAUAAGAGAUGGGGCAGUUGAAUGGGUAGUGAGAGAAGGGGAAAUGAGGUGGCAAUAAGCCACCUCCAAGUGGCAAGCAAAAGGGGUGAGGUGGCAACAAUCCACCUUCAAGUGGUAAGCAAAAGAGUGACAUUUGGAGUGGGGAAAGAAAAAGAGGUAGUCCCUCA